AAACGACUCUCGGCAACGGAUAUCUCGGCUCUCGCAUCGAUGAAGAACGUAGCGAAAUGCGAUACUUGGUGUGAAUUGCAGAAUCCCGUGAACCAUCGAGUCUUUGAACGCAAGUUGCGCCCAAAACCAUUCGGUCAAGGGCACGUCUGCCUGGGCGUCACGCAU
rnacentral:rRNA from 1 species